rnacentral:rRNA from 1 species
AGUGAACGCUGGCGGCAGGCCUAACACAUGCAAGUCGAGCGGCAGCGCGUCCGACCACCCUCGGGUGGUCGGAUGGCGGCGAGCGGCGGACGGGUGAGGAAUGCAUCGGAAUCUGCCUCGUUGUGGGGGAUAACGUAGGGAAACUUACGCUAAUACCGCAUACGACCUACGGGUGAAAGUGGGGGACCUUCGGGCCUCACGCGAUGAGAUGAGCCGAUGCCGGAUUAGCUAGUUGGCGGGGUAAAAGCCUACCAAGGCGACGAUCUGUAGCUGGUCUGAGAGGACGACCAGCCACACUGGGACUGAGACACGGCCCAGACUCCUACGGGAGGCAGCAGUGGGGAAUUUUGGACAAUGGGCGCAAGCCUGAUCCAGCCAUGCCGCGUGCGGGAAGAAGGCCUGGUUGUAAACCGCUUUGUUCAGGAGAACGG